rnacentral:lncRNA from 1 species
UUUUGCCCAGGUCCAUGCCAUCAACAUCUGUAAAACAAUAUUCAUAUGAGUAAAAAUCCCAAGCCCCUAAAUCUCAGACUUGAAGCUGAAGAUGAUGGCAACCCAGAAACACCAAGAGGUCCAGACAGACAAAGCACCAACGAAAGGCUGUUCUCUCCAGCUAAAGGACCAGGAAAGGAGCUGCCUCUGCAAGACAGAAAAUGUUUAGACAAUGGCUGCGCUACUUUAGCCAACCACCACAGAAAACACUUUGACUUCGCUCUCACCCACGUUAAGAUCUUGUGGGGAGCCCAGAAUUUCACCCUGUGAGGCUGUAACAAGUUUCUCCAAUACUCCCACUAGGGUGGUGUCAGAGAGACCGAGUGGGAAGUUGGGACUUUCAUUCCUUUUGGCCAGUAACUAGCUCCUUGUCUCCGCAGUCUUAGUGAAGACUACGUGGGAGUCUGAACUCCUGUCCUCUCCCAGCAAUAACAAAGAGGCUCCCCUCAAGUUUCAGUGGAGCCAAAUAGGGAACCCAGACUUCUACAUUCACCUGCAGUAAUGAGUUGGCACUCCUGCUGGAGCAGUGUCAGAUAAGAACAGAUGAAAAAGAAGGUUUAUUUAAAGAGCAAGCAUCUCAGAACAUAAUGUGAAAAUGUCCAGGCUUAAAUUGAAAAUCACUUAUAUAUAUUAUGAAAAUCACUUAUACAAAGAACUAGAAAAAUCUCAAACUGAAUGAAAAAUUAAAAAAAAAAUCAAAUGCCAACACUGGGAUGACUGAGAUAUUAAAACUAUCUGACAAAUAUUUUAAAGUACCCAUAAUUUAAAACAAUGCUUCAGAAAGCAGUUAGGAAACCACUUGAAACAAAUUCUUUAAAUGGAAAGGUUUUUUUUUUUUUUGCCAAUGACUCCAUCAGCAGCAGCAAAAAAAAAAAAAAAAAAAAUCUCAGUCGAGAAAUAAAAGAUAUAAAGAACAAAACAAAAAUUUUAGAACUCAAAAUAUAAUAACCUGAGUAAAAAGCUCAGUGAAUGGGCUCAAUAGUAAAAUAGAGGGGGCAAAUGAGAAAAAUCACUUAGCUGUUAGAAUAGAAUUUCCCCAAUAAGACCAACACAGAGAAAAAUAGACUUGAAAACAAAUGAACGAGGUAUUCUUAGGGAUUCAUGGGACUCUAAUAAAAGAUAUAGCAUUCAUGUCAUUGAAGUUCCAGAAGGAGAGGAAAAAUAAGGGGAGGCUGGAAAAGUACUUAAAGAAAUCACGGCUGAAAAAUGUCCUAAAGUUGACAAGAGAUAUAAACUUACAGAUUCGAGAAGCUAAGAGAACCCUAAACAUAAUAAACCUGAAUAACUCACAACAAGACUUAUAAUUAAGCUUCUGAAAACUAAAGACAAAGAGAAAAUAUUGAAAGCCACCAGAGGAAAACAACUUACUUAUAUAAGGGGAAAAUAACUAGAAUAAUAGUGGAUUUCUCAUCAGAAACCAUGGAGGCCAAAAGGAAGUUGUACCAUAUUUUUCUAGGUGCUGCAAGAAAAGAAUUGUCAACCCAGAAUCCCAUACCCAGUGAAAUAUAUCCUGCAAGAAAUAAAGGGGAACUUGAGACAUCCUCAGAUGAAGGAAAACUAAGAGAAUUUGUUGCCUGAAAGCCUACCCUAAAAGAAUGACUAAAUGAAGUUUUCUUAAAACAGAAAGGAAACAAUAAAAGAAGGAAGCCUGGAACAUCAGAGAUAAAGAAGGUAUAUAGUAAGCAGAAAUAUAGCUAUAUACAAUAGGCUUCCCUUCUCCUCUUGGGCUUUCUAAAUUAUAUUUUAUUGUAGAAGCCAAAAUUAUAAUACUGAC